rnacentral:tRNA from 1 species
GCCAGUUUAGUUUAGUGGUUAAAAUGCUGAACUAGAAAUUGAGAGACCAAGAAUUCCAAUCCUCUUUCUGGCA